GUCAAGAUGGCCGAGUGGUUAAGGCGUUCGCCUCGAAUCCCCCUCAGUUCGUCCCGCAACGGGCCAACUUUCGGUGCUACGAUUAGCGAAUGGGUUCGCCCGCGCAGGUUCGAAUCCUGUUCUUGACG